UACGUAGUGAGCAAGCGUUGUCCGGAAUCAUUGGGCGUAAAGCGCGCGUAGGCGGCUUCGUAAGUCCGUUGUGAAAGUCAAAGGCUCAACCUUUGAAAGCCGAUGGAUACUGUGAGGCUAGAGUCCGGAAGAGGCGAGUGGAAUUCCUGGUGUAGCGGUGGAAUGCGCAGAUAUCAGGAGGAACACCAAUAGCGAAGGCAGCUCGCUGGGACGGUACUGACGCUAAGGCGCGAAAGCGUGGGGAGCGAACAGG
rnacentral:rRNA from 1 species